rnacentral:rRNA from 1 species
AUACCCUGGUAGUCCACGCCCUAAACGAUGUCUACUAGUUGUUGGGUCUUAAUUGACUUAGUAACGCAGCUAACGCGUGAAGUAGACCGCCUGGGGAGUACGGUCGCAAGAUUAAAACUCAAAGGAAUUGACGGGGACCCGCACAAGCGGUGGAUGAUGUGGAUUAAUUCGAUGCAACGCGAAAAACCUUACCUACCCUUGACAUGGCAGGAAUCCCGGAGAGAUUUGGGAGUGCUCGAAAGAGAACCUGCACACAGGUGCUGCAUGGCUGUCGUCAGCUCGUGUCGUGAGAUGUUGGGUUAAGUCCCGCAACGAGCGCAACCCUUGUCAUUAGUUGCUACGCAAGAGCACUCUAAUGAGACUGCCGGUGACAAACCGGAGGAAGGUGGGGAUGACGUCAAGUCCUCAUGGCCCUUAUGGGUAGGGCUUCACACGUCAUACAAUGGUACAUACAGAGGGCCGCCAACCCGCGAGGGGGAGCUAAUCCCAGAAAGUGUAUCGUAGUCCGGAUUGUAGUCUGCAACUCGACUACAUGAAGUUGGAAUCGCUAGUAAUCGCGGAUCAGCAUGUCGCGGUGAAUACGUUCCCGGGUCUUGUACACACCGCCCGUCACACCAUGGGAGCGGGUUUUACCAGAAGUAGGUAGCUUAACCGCAAGGAGGGCGCUUACCACGGUAG